GUUUAACUUGGAGUAGAAUUACCACUUGUUGAGAACCAUGUAGAAGCUAGAUGGUUAGUGAAAUUAUUAACAUUUUCAUCCUAGUCUUAUGAGUAUUGUCUGAGAGGGUAGCAUUCUUUUGUUUUUACCAUUAUUUAGUUCAAGUUAAAUAGUGUUGCCAGCAUGGAUUGAAGGGAAAGGAGGAUUAAAAUAGGCGAAGGAGAUGAUUUUAUCAUAGAAACAAUUCAAGUAAACAUACCAAGAGAGACCUU
rnacentral:misc_RNA from 1 species